CAUAUAGAGAGAUGGAGGGACAGGCCCUUUGAUAUCUCAGCAACCUAUUCUUUUGAAUGUGGUGCUAAUUCCUGAUAGAUGGUAAACUCU
rnacentral:ncRNA from 1 species